rnacentral:rRNA from 1 species
AGCGAACGCUGGCGGCAGGCCUAACACAUGCAAGUCGAACGGAUCCUUCGGGAUUAGUGGCGGACGGGUGAGUAACACGUGGGAACGUGCCCGUUGGUUCGGAACAACUCAGGGAAACUUGAGCUAAUACCGGAUGUGCCCUUCGGGGGAAAGAUUUAUCGCCAUUGGAGCGGCCCGCGUCUGAUUAGCUAGUUGGUGAGGUAACGGCCCACCAAGGCGACGAUCAGUAGCUGGUCUGAGAGGAUGAUCAGCCACACUGGGACUGAGACACGGCCCAGACUCCUACGGGAGGGAGCAGUGGGGAAUCUUGCGCGAUGGGCGAAGGCGUGACGCAGCCAUGCCGCGUGAAUGAUGAAGGUCUUAGGAUUGUAAAAUUCUUUGUGCGGGGACGAUAAUGACGGUACCCGCAGAAGAAGCACCGGCUAACUUCGUG